UACUAGGAAGUAAUAUGACCUUAGAGUUUCUGGAGGGAAUUAAAGUGAAGUGUUGAAUCACAUUUGGAGAUGACUAGAUAAAAUCCUGAGUCCUAAAUAACUAACUAGGCCCUCCCCAACCAGCUCCCAUUACAUUUUCACUUAACACCGUGUGCACGCAGCCUGCGCACUACUCUCUCUGAUGCACUGAGAAGAAACCUAGAGAAGCUUAUUUAUUUUAUUAGUAGAGUCUUACAAGGUAGUCAUGAUAAUGAAGAGAGAUGCUAAUCUUUUAUCAAAUGGGGCAAAUAAAAAAUCUUUCUACAAAUGAAAAUAAUCACUAAAAAACUUCAAGUGAGAAUCUACCCUUCA